rnacentral:rRNA from 1 species
GCUUAGUGAGGCUUCAAGAUUGGCGCCGCGGGAGGGGCAACUUUCCCAUGGGGCCGAGAAUCUAGUCAAACUUGGUCAUUUAGAGGUCGUAAAAGUCGUAACAAGGUUUCCGUAGGUGAACCUGCGGAAGGAUCAUUACUGUGAUUUAGUACUACACUGCGUGAGCGGAACGAAAACAAAAACACCUAAAAUGUGGAAUAUAGCAUAUAGUCGACAAGAGAAAUCUACGAAAAACAAACAAAACUUUCAACAACGGAUCUCUUGGUUCUCGCAUCGAUGAAGAGCGCAGCGAAAUGCGAUACCUAGUGUGAAUUGCAGCCAUCGUGAAUCAUCGAGUUCUUGAACGCACAUUGCGCCCCUCGGCAUUCCGGGGGGCAUGCCUGUUUGAGCGUCGUUUCCAUCUUGCGCGUGCGCAGAGUUGGGGGAGCGGAGCGGACGACGUGUAAAGAGCGUCGGAGCUGCGACUCGCCUGAAAGGGAGCGAAGCUGGCCGAGCGAACUAGACUUUUUUUCAGGGACGCUUGGCGGCCGAGAGCGAGUGUUGCGAGACAACAAAAAGCUCGACCUCAAAUCAGGUAGGAAUACCCGCUGAACUUAAGCAUAUCAAUAAGCGGAGGAAAAGAAACCAACAGGGAUUGCCUCAGUAGCGGCGAGUGAAGCGGCAAGAGCUCAGAUUUGAAAUCGUGCUUUGCGGCACGAGUUGUAGAUUGCAGGUUGGAGUCUGUGUGGAAGGCGGUGUCCAAGUCCCUUGGAACAGGGCGCCCAGGAGGGUGAGAGCCCCGUGGGAUGCCGGCGGAAGCAGUGAGGCCCUUCUGACGAGUCGAGUUGUUUGGGAAUGCAGCUCCAAGCGGGUGGUAAAUUCCAUCUAAGGCUAAAUACUGGCGAGAGACCGAUAGCGAACAAGUACUGUGAAGGAAAGAUGAAAAGCACUUUGAAAAGAGAGUGAAACAGCACGUGAAAUUGUUGAAAGGGAAGGGUAUUGCGCCCGACAUGGGGAUUGCGCACCGCUGCCUCUCGUGGGCGGCGCUCUGGGCUUUCCCUGGGCCAGCAUCGGUUCUUGCUGCAGGAGAAGGGGUUCUGGAACGUGGCUCUUCGGAGUGUUAUAGCCAGGGCCAGAUGCUGCGUGCGGGGACCGAGGACUGCGGCCGUGUAGGUCACGGAUGCUGGCAGAACGGCGCAACACCGCCCGUCUUGAAACAUGGACCAAGGAGUCUAACGUCUAUGCGAGUGUUUGGGUGUGAAACCCGUACGCGUAAUGAAAGUGAACGUAGGUCGGACCCCCUGCCCUCGGGGAGGGGAGCACGAUCGACCGAUCCCGAUGUUUAUCGGAAGGAUUUGAGUAGGAGCAUAGCUGUUGGGACCCGAAAGAUGGUGAACUAUGCCUGAAUAGGGUGAAGCCAGAGGAAACUCUGGUGGAGGCUCGUAGCGGUUCUGACGUGCAAAUCGAUCGUCGAAUUUGGGUAUAG